rnacentral:rRNA from 1 species
UAUAGGGGGGGCAAGCGUUGUUCGGAAUUACUGGGCGUAAAGCGUGCGCAGGCGGUUUUGUAAGACUGUCGUGAAAUCCCCGGGCUCAACCUGGGAAUGGCGAUGGUGACUGCAAGGCUAGAGUUUGGCAGAGGGGGGUAGAAUUCCACGUGUAGCAGUGAAAUGCGUAGAUAUGUGGAGGAACACCGAUGGCGAAGGCAGCCCCCUGGGUCAAAACUGACGCUCAUGCACGAAAGCGUGGGGAGCAAACAGG